AAACACGCGCGGCACCGCUUCCAUUGCCUUCACCUUCGAAGCUGGCCACGCCGUGCACCUCGAGACUUGUGUUGGAGCGAAGAAAAAUAAUCCUCGGAUCCGGUACCUGGUCGAGCAACUACCCGCCACGCACUGCCAGCAGCUUCUCUCGAUCCUGCUGUGUGUUGUUGCCUCGACCUGCUAGUCGCUCGAGGGAGAGACGAAGUUAAUCAAAGGGAGAUUCAAGGUAAAUUCAAAGGAGAUUCAAGGGAAAUUCAAGCGAGAUUCAAAGGCAACGAAGUUGAUCCUAGGGAAACUUAAAGGCGAUCCUAGGGAGAUCCAAAGCUGACUCUAGGGAAAUCUAAAGGCGAUUCUAGGGGAUUUCAAAUGAAAUCUAAGGAAAUCCAAGAGCAACUUUAGGAAGAUACAAAGUCCACUCUAAAGAAACUUGAAGGAGACCCUAGGGGGUUCCAAAGUUGAUUCUAGGAAGAUCCAAGAACGAAUUUAGGAGGAUUCAAAGUUGAACCUAGGGAAACUUAAAGGCGAUUCUAGGGAGAUCUAACGUCGAUCCUAGGUAAAUUUAAAAGCGAUCCUAGGGAAAGACAAUUCUAGGGGAUCUAAAGUGGAAUCUAGGGAAAUCCAAGAGCGAAUUUAGGUAGAUUCAAAGACAACCCUAGGGAAACUUAAAGGAGACCCUCGGAGGUUCCAAAGUCGGUUCUAGGAAGAUCCAAGAGCGAAUUUAGGAGGACUGAAAGUUGAACCUAGGAAAGCUUAAAGACGAUUCUAGGAGGAUCCAAACACGAACCUAGAGAAAGCUUAUAUCGAUCCUAAGAAGAUCCAAGGAAGCUCCUCUCGACGAAUGCUUCUUACAACCUCAGAACGCGUAAUAACACGUCUUCAGGGUUCACUGACUCGUGUUUCGCGACGCGGAGUGGAUAAUGGCACCUUCGGUACUACUUUGAUGUUUGGUUAGAGGCAUCUAGUAAUCCAUGUUUGAUUAGUGAUCCAGGGUUGAAUAAACUGCAGGAGGAUAUGUAGAACAAACAAUGUAGUUUCUGGUAUUGCUUUAAGUCUGCUCAGAGUAAUGGCACGUUGAAAUCUCUGUUUGAAGAUGUAGAAUAAGUAAUAAUGCCUUCGGCAUCUACUUGGAAGUGUAAGGUAAGCAAUAAUACUGCGAGUUGUUCAUUGAUGUCUACUUGGAAUUGUAAGGUAUCCAGGGCUUCCAUUGAUGCCCACUCGCAGUAGAGCAAAUAAUGGUACCUUUGAAGUUCUUGAAGCUGUAGACUAUGCAGUGGCAUCUUUCGCAUUCCUUUGCGUCUACCUUGAAACACGCCACGAAUAGUGGGACUAUUAAGGUCUACGUGAAGAUGUAGAGUAAACAACGGAUUUUCCAGUGUUCAUUGACACUUACUCUGAAGCAAAAUGUCUAAUUAACGCUACAGAUCGUAUUACAUAUUUUUUCUCAGACGAUGCACAUUCGUUUACAGAAAACAAAAGAAAUAUUAAACUGACGUACACGAAAUCAUAAAGUUAGCCUGAAAAAUCGCAGAAUCUUAAAGAAAAAUUACAACGUUUCGCAAAUGCUUUAAACCGAAUGGAAGGAAGAACGUAACCAAAUGGAUGGCGAGAAAUUUUCGAAACACGAACGACGACCAACCAGGUAUUUCCUCGUUAUGCAAUUAUUAUGGAUAACACGUUGCUGGAAGUGCUCGAGAGGAGAUGUAUCCAGGGAAUAAUUUAUGGCAAAAAAUUGAAAUUGCUACCGGUCAUCGAUGAGCCAAAGUGUAUUCGAUGACUUAAUAAUGAUCGAGCGUAUCGUAAAAUUUAUUUUCUCUUAUUUAUCAGUUUUUUAUUCUAUUCCGAAAUGACUGGAUGAUUUUCGAUUAAAUCGAUCGUAUAAUACAGGUAAACUUAAAAGUGUAGGAAUAUCAAUUAAGAUGUUAUUUAUGUUUUUAUUUUCAUUCUUUAUGGA